AAUAAAGUUCAUGUAUGGCAA
rnacentral:miRNA from 1 species